GAUGAACGCUGGCGGCGUGCCUAAUACAUGCAAGUCGAGCGAACAGACGAGGAGCUUGCUCCUCUGACGUUAGCGGCGGACGGGUGAGUAACACGUGGAUAACCUACCUAUAAGACUGGGAUAACUUCGGGAAACCGGAGCUAAUACCGGAUAAUAUAUUGAACCGCAUGGUUCAAUAGUGAAAGACGGUUUUGCUGUCACUUAUAGAUGGAUCCGUGUCGCAUUAGCUAGUUGGUAAGGUAACGGCUUACCAAGGCAACGAUGCGUAGCCGACCUGAGAGGGUGAUCGGCCACACUGGAACUGAGACACGGUCCAGACUCCUACGGGAGGCAGCAGUAGGGAAUCUUCCGCAAUGGGCGAAAGCUUGACGGAGCAACGCCGCGUGAGUGAUGAAGGUCUUCGGAUCGUAAAACUCUGUUAUUAGGGAAGAACAAAUGUGUAAGUAACUAUGCACGUCUUGACGGUACCUAAUCAGAAAGCCACGGCUAACUACGUG
rnacentral:rRNA from 1 species